rnacentral:rRNA from 1 species
UCGGGAAUAUUGCGCAAUGGAGGAAACUCUGACGCAGUGACGCCGCGUAUGGGAAGAAGGUUUUCGGAUUGUAAACCAUUUUAGACAAGGAAGAAAAAAGGACAGUACUUGUAGAAUAAGCUCCGGCUAACUACGUGCCAGCAGCCGCGGUAAUACGUAGGGAGCAAGCGUUAUCCGGAUUUAUUGGGUGUAAAGGGUGCGUAGACGGGAAGGUAAGUUAGUUGUGAAAUCCCUCGGCUCAACUGAGGAACUGCGACUAAAACGUGCUUUUCUUGAGUACUGGAGAGGAAAGUGGAAUUCCUAGUGUAGCGGUGAAAUGCGUAGAUAUUAGGAGGAACACCAGUGGCGAAGGCGACUUUCUGGACAGUAACUGACGUUGAGGCACGAAAGUGUGGGGAGCAAACAGGAUUAGAUACC